UCCCGGGUUCGAGCCCCCGACGGUGCGGGGCCGACCCGUUGCGUUACAAUAUAUUUAUAUAUUAAUAAACACGCACACCAAGGGUGUAAAGAUUCGACCCGUCAGUCGAGCCUCGUGUUCGAACCUGCAACUUGACGAACAAGACCACUGUUGCCCCUUUUUAUGCAAAGCCCACUCGUUCACCUGAAAACGCACCAGGGUGUUUUUUAAGGGGCACUUUUAAGGGCCGGUAGUAAAUGAGACAUCCGGGAAGCCCCAUUGGAAAGUCCACCGGACCGCGGCAAUAUUGGAAACAUAUUUUUUAUUUUCACAUAACAGAAGUAUGCAUAUAUCUGAAUUCUUUAAUAAACCGUCAUUACCCGCGUGUUUGUAUUUACAGGGGUCUUAUGCGCAAACAUGAAGCGAUGAGCUCACACUCCUUUUAUCUCUGUGUUUCCGGCCAGUCCUUGGUGUAGGACACAGCGUGAGGGCACACCUGCCCUCUGAAGACACAGGUAUGGCUGCCUGUGUUACAUCCUCAGGUGAAGUCGAGUCUUCUGCAGUCUGCAAUGUACUGACCCAGACAGGUCCUGCUCCACGAAGUUGCCCACCUGCCUGUCGCACAGCACCAAAGACGAAACUCACCGCAAUCGUUUGUGCCGGCUUGUGUCGCUGGUGCGAGCUCAACUGUAACAGCGCUUGAACUGGGCAGACGGGGUCACUGGAGGUCAAAGUCACCGUGCGUGGUCAGGUGAUCACCGGGAAAACAAGGCGCUAUAUCUCGGAAACGAGAGCAGCACAAACGCUACUUUCAACGGCACAACCGUAGCACUAACGAAUGAGGUGGGUUUCAUCGUUUGUGCUGUCUGUAGGGGGGCAACCUCACGGAGCUUCUACCUGCCUUUAAAUAUUCAGCGGACUUGAGCACAACAUACCCGAAGAACGUGCAGGCGGGUGUGGCUUUCAGAGGUCGGAGUAAACGCAUCGCCCCGAGGGUACUACCGAGUGAGGCGCCACGAGAAUAAAAACUGCGAAGGCGCCAUAUGAAAUAAAGUUGAUCACCGUCAUUGGACGCGGAGGGAGGAAGGAACCCGCCUACCGGCCCGCCUUCUCGCCAAUCGGCUUAUGAAACGUCACGAAGGACCCGCCCAUCCCAUGGGGGGGGGGGAGC